GCCAAGUGUGAAAGGGUGACUCACGUUGCUCAGGAUUCGGCAAUCCUCUCCUCAAAUACUUCACAUAGCUGGGCCCCUAUUCAUGCUGCCUGACUUCAGGUGUCUACCCAAGCUUUCUUAGCUGUCUCCAAGAACAGAGGAAACCUCAUUCUCCCCUACAAGAGCUGGUCUCCCUCACAUAGAAGCAAUCAACAGUGAAAAAUGCUUACAGGGAAAAGUGACGGGAACCAGUGGCUGAAAAUGACCCUCACCAGAUGCAGACGAUCAGCCCAUUGACAAUAAUAAUAAUGAGAAUAUGAGCGAAGGGGCUCCAGGGAGGUCUUUGUCCCUGCUUUGGGGACCUCUCUUGGCAGAACUGUGGCAAGGACAGUGACAUCCUUUCUUUAUUCUGGUUGCCUGAUCUCCUUUGAUUUACAGUAUCUGCUGCAAUAAGCCGAAGACUUCAAUCUUUCAUGAAGACUCAACUGCUGAGCUGGCCUCAUCCCCUCUAGAGUGAGGUUUCUGCCUAGAAAAUGGGGGGAAAAUAAUAGAUUUCCAUCGAUUGAGUGUUUUAAAAACAGGUUACACACAGAUUUUUCAAGGUUUAAACUUAAUUUGUAUAAUCUCACCACUGAGUGCAAGUUAGAAGACUUGAUGCAAAUCCAAGCUUGAUUGAUUAAUAGGCACCAUGUGCAACACAUUCAUGCUCCUGGAAGCAGAAACUUCUCCCCCCUUCAGUUAGGACGGGACAUUUUGCUUGAUCAGAGCAACGGAAACUUGAAUCUUUGUGUGACUCUGCAUCAAAGAGACAUCUGGGACUGACUGGCUGAGCUUUUACAGCAAAAGAACUACAUCAGAAUUGAUUACCUAGACUGACUGUUUCGAAUGAGUCUUCAUAGGGUGCAAUGAUUAAGACUCUUGUAGAGGUUUAUUUUAGUAUUUUAGAGUUUAAAAUUGCCUCACCUGCUUAUGCAAUUAUACAAAUGCAUCCUACUUGAUUUAGCCUCCAUCCCCAGUGUUUUCUCAAAGGGCAAGUAGUUUUGUCUGGAUUUGACAACCGGAUUUAACUAGAGAAAGUAGGGUUAGAUUUGUGAGAGGUUUAGGCACUGAAAUCCCUAAUUUCUAGGUCCCUCGCCACCAGCAGUUUAUGAGCUGCAUUCACUCUCCCUGCAUAGUUCAUGGUGGAGAUGAUUGGUUGCUUCGGUGUUGAACUUAAAGGAGUUGGCAAUAUUAAGUGGGAUCUUCCUGAAGGGAGCACGCAGCUGCUUACAUUCAAGCACUAGGAAAAGUGGAGGACAAGGGUGUAUCUGCAAUUCUCUCUUGCACUAAAAGCUCCUUGAGGCUGGAGUGAGGCAAUCCUGUCUGCUUGGGAUCCAUUGUCUGAAAUCUUCUCCUGGAGAUUGGUACCUACGCCCUUUCUUUCAAAAGACUCCACACAGAUCAGUCUUUUAAAAACAAAGCAGGAAGAAGAAAAGGUGUGCACCUGUGUGUGUCUACACAGAUGGAACAGACGCUGCUUUGCAUGCAGAGGCUCUGAGCGUGGCUACCAGGGCCCGCCAAGCCACUCCACAAAGUUUCUCCAUGGUUUCUCCAUGCCAGCGAGGCUUAGGUGGGAUUGAGGCACCACACAGCCCAGUCUUGUCAGCUCUGGAGAUACGAAGUGUGGCUCUCCACAUCUGGGGCUGAUAUUUCUCCCAGUGUAAGAUCGACUUUCUCAG
ensembl:lncRNA